rnacentral:lncRNA from 1 species
AAAGUCAUCCCCUGAUUUGUGAAGGUGGAGAAAAGAAAGGAAAGAAAGAAAAACUUUACCAGACAGUAAAACAACUCAUAAACCUGUCAGGAGUAAUUCCAGCAGCUGUGGUGGAAAUGAAAGGCAGUUGCAGACACCUUGGGCCUUUCCGUGGCAGGGUGAGCUCUUGUAAGAUCCUAGACUUUACCUGUGAACGCUGGGACCCAUAACUCAAUUUACAAGUACCUUAACACUGAAAGACUAUUUGCCGAGCUGACACUCUGGAAUUUGUUACCUUCACCAGGAGCUGCACUGACUAAGAAAGGCCACAAGCUGUGACUGGAAUGGUGGAAAGGAACAGAGUUUUUAGACUGCAGAACCUUAACCAACUUAGCCUCAGCUUUGCAGGGCUGUGCUGUGAGAGCAACUUGAACUUGAGAGCGAAAUCCUCUAAUUAAGAGGCAAUUACAAAGAACUUCUGCUUGUCCCAUCCUGAAGACGUUAGAGGCCACACCCCAAGUCCCUUCACUAACAUGAACUCAGUCCUCAACACACUGGCUCUUAAAUGGGUCCUGUGUCUUGUGGAGAGCCAAUGUUCUGACAGACUCC